CCAAUCUUAUAUAGAAGUUUUUGUAUGUAAUCUUUUUUAUUAAGUAUCUUUAUUAUUGCUGAAGUAAAUCUUUAAAGUAUGAAAUCUUGUCAAAUUAUUAAUAUAGCAAAUGGAAUUUUUUAUUGGUAGAUUUCAUAUUCAAUUGAUAUAAUGGAUGGAUCCUCCAAUCAUAAAGCAAAGUCUUGUUUAACGUGAUUAAGUUUUUUGAAAAAAUUCUACAACAUCUAGUAUAUUUAAUUGCUUGUGUGAUUUUCAUAGAUUCUAAAUAUAAAUAUGGUUUUCAUGUUAAUAUUUUGUAAGAGGGGACUUUUGAAUGUAUUUUUUUAUUUAGUGAUGACUUUCUUUAUUUUGAUCAAUCUAGUUUUUGGUGAUAUAAAGCCUAUAUAAUUUUUUAUCUAUUUAUAGUAGAUACUUCAAUAUAUAUCCAAUAUCAAUGUUAUCUUAUAAUUAAUCUAAUUUCUUUAAUUACAAAUUCAAUCUUCUUAUCUUCAAAUUAAGUUUAUUUGCAUAAAUAAAUUGAGUUAUAUAGCCUUUAUGUUUGCUAGAUUUUGUAAAAAUGCUUAUAUAUAAGUGUACAUGUUUAGAAAGAACUUCUUUAUAUUUUUUUGCUUCUUGCGAGCAUGUAGAUAUAAAAAAACUAGUAGAUUGCAUUAUUGAUUUGGAUACAAUUCUAAGACAAUU
rnacentral:lncRNA from 1 species